rnacentral:rRNA from 1 species
UGUAUGAAGUUGGAAUCGCUAGUAAUCGCGGAUCAGCAUGCCGCGGUGAAUACGUUCCCGGGCCUUGUACACACCGCCCGUCACACCAUGAGAGUCGGGAACACCCGAAGUCCGUAGCCUAACCGCAAGGGGGGCGCGGCCGAAGGUGGGUUCGAUAAUUGGGGUGAAGUCGUAACAAGGUACC